rnacentral:rRNA from 1 species
UACCAGCACCCCGAGUGGUCGGGACGUUUAUUGGGCCUAAAGCAUCCGUAGCCGGUUCUACAAGUCUUCCGUUAAAAUCCAACUGCUUAACAGGUGGGCUGCGGAAGAUACUAUAGAGCUAGGAGGCGGGGAGAGGCAAGCGGUACUCGAUGGGUAGGGGUAAAAUCCGUUGAUCCAUUGAAGACCACCAGUGGCGAAGGCGGCUUGCCAGAACGCGCUCGACGGUG